GACGAACGCUGGCGGCGUGCUUAACACAUGCAAGUCGAACGGAAAGGCCCUGCUUUUGUGGGGUGCUCGAGUGGCGAACGGGUGAGUAACACGUGAGUAACCUGCCCUUGACUUUGGGAUAACUUCAGGAAACUGGGGCUAAUACCGGAUAGGAGCUCCUGCUGCAUGGGGGUGGUUGGAAAGUUUCGGCGGUUGGGGAUGGACUCGCGGCUUAUCAGCUUGUUGGUGGGGUAGUGGCUUACCACGGCUUUGACGGGUAGCCGGCCUGAGAGGGUGACCGGCCACAUUGGGACUGAGAUACGGCCCAGACUCCUACGGGAGGCAGCAGUGGGGAAUAUUGCACAAUGGGCGGAAGCCUGAUGCAGCAACGCCGCGUGCGGGAUGACGGCCUUCGGGUUGUAAACCGCUUUCGCCUGUGACGAAGCGUGAGUGACGGUAAUGGGUAAAGAAGCACCGGCUAACUACGUG
rnacentral:rRNA from 1 species